rnacentral:rRNA from 1 species
CGGGUGAGUAACACGUGGGCAAUCUGCCCUGCACUCUGGGACAAGCCCUGGAAACGGGGUCUAAUACCGGAUACUGACCCCCGCAGGCAUCUGCGGGGUUCGAAAGCUCCGGCGGUGCAGGAUGAGCCCGCGGCCUAUCAGCUUGUUGGUGAGGUAAUGGCUCACCAAGGCGACGACGGGUAGCCGGCCUGAGAGGCGGACCGGCCAAACUGGGACUGAGCAGACCCCAACACUAAUACGGGAGGCAGCAGUGGGGAAUAUUGCACAAUGGGCGAAAGCCUGAUGCAGCGACGCCGCGUGAGGGAUGACGGCCUUCGGGUUGUAAACCUCUUUCAGCAGGGAAGAAGCGAAAGUGACGGUACCUGCAGAAGAAGCGCCGGCUAACUACGUGCCAGCAGCCGCGGUAAUACGUAGGGCGCGAGCGUUGUCCGGAAUUAUUGGGCGUAAAGAGCUCGUAGGCGGCUUGUCACGUCGGUUGUGAAAGCCCGGGGCUUAACCCCGGGUCUGCAGUCGAUACGGGCAGGCUAGAGUUCGGUAGGGGAGAUCGGAAUUCCUGGUGUAGCGGUGAAAUGCGCAGAUAUCAGGAGGAACACCGGUGGCGAAGGCGGAUCUCUGGGCCGAUACUGACGCUGAGGAGCGAAAGCGUGGGGAGCGAACAGGAUUAGAUACCCUGGUAGUCCACGCCGUAAACGGUGGGCACUAGGUGUGGGCGACAUUCCACGUCGUCCGUGCCGCAGCUUAACGCAUUAAGUGCCCGCCUGGGGAGUACGGCCGCAAGGCUAAACUCAAAGGAAUUGACGGGGGCCGCA